UUUAUUGAGAGUUUGAUCCUGGCUCAGGACGAACGCUGGCGGCGUGCUUAACACAUGCAAGUCGAACGAGAAUCUACUGAAA
rnacentral:ncRNA from 1 species